rfam:Cavia porcellus supercont2_19 genomic scaffold, whole genome shotgun sequence.
GGGGAUUUAGCUCAGCGGCAUAAGCACCUGCCUUGCAAGCAGAUGGUUGUGAGUUCAAUCCCUG